rnacentral:rRNA from 1 species
AUUGAACGCUGGCGGCAUGCUUUACACAUGCAAGUCGAACGGCAGCAUAGAGAGCUUGCUCUCUGAUGGCGAGUGGCGAACGGGUGAGUAAUGCAUCGGAACGUGUCCGUUUGUGGGGGACAACUAUCCGAAAGGAUAGCUAAUACCGCAUGAGACCUGAGGGUGAAAGCCGGGGACCGCAAGGCCUGGCGCAAACGGAGCGGCCGAUGUCUGAUUAGCUAGUUGGGGAGGUAACGGCUCACCAAGGCGACGAUCAGUAGCUGGUCUGAGAGGACGACCAGCCACACUGGAACUGAGACACGGUCCAGACUCCUACGGGAGGCAGCAGUGGGGAAUUUUGGACAAUGGGGGCAACCCUGAUCCAGCAAUGCCGCGUGCGGGAAGAAGGCCUUCGGGUUGUAAACCGCUUUUGUCAGGGACGAAAAGGAGCUUGUGAAUGAUGAGUUCUGCUGACGGUACCUGAAGAAUAAGCACCGGCUAACUACGUGCCAGCCGCCGCCGUAAAAC